UGAGGAACAUGACCUUCGGCGGGGGAUAGCCGGCCCAACGGCCGGGUAAUACCGCGUACGACCAUUUGGGGACAUCCCCGAGUGGUGAAAGCAGCAAUGCGCCGAUGGAGUGCCUCGCGGCCUAUCAGCUAGUUGGUGAGGUAACGGCUCACCAAGGCAACGACGGGUAGCUGGUCUGAGAGGAUGGCCAGCCACAUUGGGACUGAGACACGGCCCAGACUCCUACGGGAGCAG
rnacentral:rRNA from 1 species